rnacentral:piRNA from 1 species
UAGCUAACUCUGGAGAGUUACGAGGAAGG